ACGGAGGGUGCAAGCGUUAAUCGGAAUUACUGGGCGUAAAGCGCACGCAGGCGGUCUGUCAAGUCGGAUGUGAAAUCCCCGGGCUCAACCUGGGAACUGCAUUCGAAACUGGCAGGCUGGAGUCUUGUAGAGGGGGGUAGAAUUCCAGGUGUAGCGGUGAAAUGCGUAGAGAUCUGGAGGAAUACCGGUGGCGAAGGCGGCCCCCUGGACAAAGACUGACGCUCAGGUGCGAAAGCGUGGGGAGCAAACAG
rnacentral:rRNA from 2 species